UACGUAGGGUGCGAGCGUUGUCCGGAAUUACUGGGCGUAAAGAGCUCGUAGGUGGUUUGUCGCGUUGUCCGUGAAAACUCACAGCUUAACUGUGGGCGUGCGGGCGAUACGGGCAGACUAGAGUGUGAUAGGGGAGACUGGAAUUCCUGGUGUAGCGGUGAAAUGCGGCCAGAGUAUCAGGAGGAACACCGAUGGCGAAGGCAGGUCUCUGGGCCGACUGCUGACGCUGGA
rnacentral:rRNA from 1 species